UGAGGAAUAUUGGUCAAUGGGCGGAAGCCUGAACCAGCCAUGCCGCGUGAAGGACUAAGGCCCUACGGGUCGUAAACUUCUUUAGACGCAGAGCAAUAAGGUCCACGUGUGGACCGAUGAGAGUAUGCGUAGAAUAAGCAUCGGCUAACUCCGUGCCAGCAGCCGCGGUAAUACGGAGGAUGCAAGCGUUAUCCGGAUUUAUUGGGUUUAAAGGGUGCGUAGGCUGUUUGACAAGUCAGUGGUGAAAGCCCGGGGCUUAACUCCGGAAUUGCCGUUGAUACUGUUGAGCUGGAAUACGGAUGCCGUGGGAGGAAUGAGUAGUGUAGCGGUGAAAUGCAUAGAUAUUACUCAGAACACCGAUUGCGAAGGCAUCUCACGAAUCCGUCAUUGACGCUGAGGCACGAAAGCGUGGGGAUCAAACAGGAUUAGAUACCCUGGUAGU
rnacentral:rRNA from 1 species